GAGUUUGAUCUUGGCUCAGAUUGAACGCUGGCGGCAGGCCUAACACAUGCAAGUCGAGCGGUAGAGAGAAGCUUGCUUCUCUUGAGAGCGGCGGACGGGUGAGUAAUGCCUAGGAAUCUGCCUGGUAGUGGGGGAUAACGCUCGGAAACGGACGCUAAUACCGCAUACGUCCUACGGGAGAAAGCAGGGGACCUUCGGGCCUUGCGCUAUCAGAUGAGCCUAGGUCGGAUUAGCUAGUUGGUGAGGUAAUGGCUCACCAAGGCGACGAUCCGUAACUGGUCUGAGAGGAUGAUCAGUCACACUGGAACUGAGACACGGUCCAGACUCCUACGGGAGGCAGCAGUGGGGAAUAUUGGACAAUGGGCGAAAGCCUGAUCCAGCCAUGCCGCGUGUGUGAAGAAGGUCUUCGGAUUGUAAAGCACUUUAAGUUGGAGGAAGGGCAGUAAAUUAAUAACUUUGCUGUUUUGACGUUACCGACAGAAUAAGCACCGGCUAACUCUGUGCCAGCACG
rnacentral:rRNA from 1 species